GAAGCUCUGGAGAAACUAGAAAAUGAACCAGCGAUUCAGCAGGUGCUCAAGCGCCUCUGUGACCUCCAUGCCAUACAUGGAAUCUUGACUAACUCGGGUGACUUUCUCCAUGACGCCUUCCUGUCUGGUGCCCAAGUGGACAUGGCAAGAACAGCCUACCUGGACCUGCUCCGCCUGAUCCGUGAAAUACGAUGUAAAGCCAUCCAGGCAAAAGAGAUGGGAAAGGUGGAUAGUGUCAAUCUGAGGAUCAAAGAGAUGGAAGGAUGCCAUCCUGUUAACUGAUGCUUUUGACUUCACCGAUCAGUGUUUAAAUUCAGCACUUGGCUGUUAUGAUGGAAACGUCUACGAACGCCUGUUCCAGUGGGCUCAGAAGUCACCAACCAAUACUCAGGAGAACCCUGCCUAUGAGGAAUAUAUAAGACCACUUUUACAAAGUUGGAGAUCCAAGCUAUGAAAUAACCAACAGUAUUCAAGAAGCAACCAGCACCAUCAUGUGAUAAUGGUACUAUGGCAUAUAUGCAACAUUAAAAUUUUAAAUUA
rnacentral:lncRNA from 1 species